rnacentral:rRNA from 1 species
GCGGGAGGCCUAACACAUGCAAGCCGAGCGGUAGAGAUUCUUCGGAAUCUUGAGAGCGGCGUACGGGUGCGGAACACGUGUGCAACCUACCUUUAUCUGGAGGAUAGCCUUUCGAAAAGGAAGAUUAAUACUCCAUAAUAUAUUGAUUGGCAUCAAUUGAUAUUGAAAGCUCCGGCGGAUAGAGAUGGGCACGCGCAAGAUUAGUUAGUUGGUGAGGUAACGGCUCACCAAGACGAUGAUCUUUAGGGGCCUGAGAAGGUGAUCCCCCACACUGGUACUGAGACACGGACCAGACUCCUAUGGGAGGCAGCAGUGAGGAAUAUUGGUCAAUGGGUGCAAGCCUGAACCAGCCAUCCCGCGUGAAGGACGACUGCCCUAUGGGUUGUAAACUUCUUUUGUAUAGGGAUAAACCUACCCUCGUGAGGGUAGCUGAAGGUACUAUACGAAUAAGCACCGGCUAACUCCGUG